ensembl:lncRNA
GUAUGGUUGGGUGUGAUUAUUGAAAUUGUGUACUGGUUAUCCAGCCGUUCAAGCAGUGUGUAGUUUAUGAUGGUUUAAAGCGUGUUAGAUUGAGGAAUACUGUUUUGGAGGAACACGUUGUUUAAAGGCUGGAGCUGUUCGCCACGUGGCGCUUACUGCCUUGUUUGGCACCAAUGUGUCUUGCUGGCUUCACGUGAAGGAUAAUGCAGGCCAAGAGCCUCACUUCCGGCUCUUGGUCACGUGGUUAUUACCAGCGUAGGAGGUGGGACUCGCGCCCUUUUUCUGCAGAAGACCUGAGCCCCAUUCACUCCAAUGGAAAAUUGUAUGAUCAGCCAACAGCAGAAAGGUGAAUUAGAUGACAUGAAGAUGCACAUCCACUUGUGUACAUGAAGUGUAAUCCUUUCUUACAUUAAGUGAGUGAGGCCUGCACCAUCAUGGUAUUUGGGAACAUCAUGAACCUGCAGCUCCGCUGACAUCCAGAUGGUUCCAGGACUUGGUUUUCUUUCUAAGGAUGCAAAACUGAUCCUGAGGCCCAGUGGGUGGGUGUUCCAACACUUUUUUGGGUGUGUCCCCCCGUCCCCCCUAAGGUUGUAAAACUGAGAUCAUGGCAUGAAGCAUCUUUGAAUGGGCUCAAGGGGAGGUGCCCAAGGGCUAUCAUGGAUUGCUAUAACAUUCAAGCUGAGGUGUUGAUUGGUGGUCAAGUUGCAGUCAGAUUAAUGGGAGGGAUAGCAGUGUGACCAUUGGUGGAUUUAAGGUGGCCACCCUGCUUGACCCCCGGGGGUGUGAAGGUGUUCCAGGAAUGUUACACUGCAUGUGUGCACACACAGGCCUUGUUUUUCUGACUGAAGUCGUAAAUGAGGCUGUUAAAAUCCAAUUUGCUGGCAUGCCAUCACCAGUUGGAAACAGUGUAGUUUCCUUAUAAACUGCAGCAGUGACCAUGCCGUUUUCUCAUUUUCUCAAAGUUCUCCAAAUUGUCUCAAUUUUGUCCAUUUAAAAUCUUCCUCCAGCUGCAUAUAUCUUAUGGAGUUUAGCUGUGCCCGGAUGAAGAUCUAGUCUGGGGAAGGAUGGAACAUCAUUCAAAAAUGCAAACACCUGUGGAAGUGAUGCAGUUGUUUCAACUGUGGCUACUGUAGCUGUAGCCGCAGUUGUUUCAACUGUGGCUACUGUAGCUGUAGCCGCAGUUGUUUCAACUGUGGCUACUGUAGCUGUAGCCGCAGUUGUUUCAACUGUGGCUACUGUAGCUGUAGCCGAUGCAGUUGUUUCAACUGUGGCUACUGUAGCUGUAGGCAUGAUUGAUUAGAUCAGGGGUUCCCAAAUUUUUCCAGUGCAAGGCCCCCUUCAGUCAAAUGUUAAUGGCAUUAACAUUUGACUGAGGCCCUCCUUUUGCAAGAUGUCUUUAAAACACAUUAAAAAUACAGAUUUUUGGAAUAUUAAUUUAAAAAAGGGGAUAUAAUCAUCUCACAUCAUUUACAUUAGGGGUGGGUGGUUGUCUUGAGUGAGAAUUUAUCUUUCACACCAAAUUGGUGAGGACCCCUGGUUUGAAAACCACUGGAUUAGAUUCAGUAGCCUGGUGAUAUCCAGUCAAGUUAGGGGUUUUCAUUUUUGUACAUAUCCAUGCCCAUAUAUUGACUUUAUAUGAUGAGUACAUUUAUGAUGGGUGUAUAUCUUAAAUUGCUGGAUGUAGACUGUAAUAGAGCCUUUUGAAUUCUCUUGUGUUGAAACUGUGAAAUAAGCUGAUAUUCAGGUUGGUAUAUGACUCAAAGGAUCUAUGUAAUGAACCAUUUAGACUCAAGGUACUUGUAAAAAGUCAACUUUUUAAAAAAUAUAUAUUUAUCAAAAAAUAUAACAACCUUAUCCUACUGCAUUUAAGAGCAAUUCAAAUGCUAUUGCACCAUGCUGAUGUACUAUAGAUUUGCACAGAAUAAAGGAAAUGUUUCAC